ensembl:lncRNA
AUGGAAGUGGCCCCACUCACUGCUACCCUUAGUGACCUGCUAGCAAUGCUUUUGCUUUCAAUUCCUGUGACUUUGCCCUGCUGGCUUAGAGGUCUUGGUUUCAGCAGGAGGAAUGCUUACGUCAGGAGAGACAGCAAUGGCUCCACUGAACUGAAAGUGAAGACUGCCACCUGAUCUCUGCAUUCCUCGUUACUCUGAAUCAACUGGCGAGGCAGAAAGUUACUGUACGGAUUGAUCCUAACAGCCCAGAGGAAAUCGGACUACUACUCCAUGACGGAGGUUCCAGCAUCCUCCUGUCAACUGUCGUGAUUUUGGUGCUCUCACAGGAGAAGAUACCAUUGCAUGUCCUUCUAUUCCCAGGGUUGUUAUGAUGGCCAUUCUAACGGGUAUGUUAACUCAUUGUGGAGUUUAUUUUUUUUUAGCUAUUAUGGUUUUUAAAUUUACCUAUUUAUUUGUUGGCUGCACAUGGGCUUUCUCCAGCUGCACUGAGCAGGGUAGUUUUCAGUGGUGCAUGAUUGUGGUGUGUUGGGUUCGUUGCUCCAAGGCAUGUGGGAUCUUUGCAUCAGACCACUGCAGCAGGGAAGUCAUCACUGUGAUUUUAAUUUGCAUUUCCCUAACAACUAGUGAUGCUGAGUAUCUUUUCAAUAACUGUUGGCCUUCCAUAUAUUUUCUUUGGAAAAAUGUCUAUUCAAUACCACAGCCCUUGAUUACUGUAGCUAUAUAAGGAAGGCUUAGUAUCAGGUAGACUGAGUCAUCCCAUUUUACCUUUCUUUUUCAAAAUUGCUAUAGAUAUUCUAGUUCCUAUUCCUUUCCAUAUAAAUUUCAAAUUAAGAUUUUCUAUGUCUACAAAAACCCUUGGUAGAAUUUUUAAAGGAAUUGCAUUUAAUCUUUAUUUAUAUAGAUUAACUUGGGG